ensembl:lncRNA
CUAAAAUCAUUUUUUAUAGUCUUCAGGCUUCUAUCAGUGACCACAUCACUGCCAGCCUUUUCUCACCUGGCACAUUAUGCUAGCUUCAGCCCUCCCAAGGUGUGAUUUUAGUCUCACAGCAAAGGGUUAAGGUCAAGCUCAAGAGAUUAAAAGUGAGCAGUGCCAGCUCCACCCCUGCUGGCUCAGCAGCCCACCCAUAAGCUACCAGAUGUCCUGUACUGGCCCAGUGCUUUUCCUGGCUUCAAAAAAGAUCUAAGAAGAGCUUUUUGGUCAGCUUUUUUGCUUUAGGUUCCUUAUCCAGUGCAGUCUUACCUUCCCUGAAGCUGGUCUCUGCAGCAAUGAAAUGUUUAUCAUGCUUCCUGUAUGUGUUGUAUCAAUUUUUUCAGCGAAACACCAGUAAAUAAAUGACUCAACUGAAGUUAAUAUCAGACCAUUUCUGGAGGUGUUUUUUUCACCUUAGCUCAGGUUCAGAAGAUCCUUUGAAGCAUGAAGAUUAAUAGACCUUUUGAAUAUGUUAUUUUGUAAGAAGCAUUAGGUGAAAAUGUAAGGCAAUCCAGACUGUUGAAUGAAAUAAAAUUGCUGGGGAAGGGGAAAGGAAAAUGAACACAAGAAAGAAAAGGGAGGAAGGAUAUCUGAAAGGACAUUAACCUUUCAUCAUUUCAUUGCUCACUGACCUCACAAGCCACAGUUCUUCCUUUAUCACUUUUAAUAAUUAAAUUUGUGCAACUAUUUCUUUACAAGGCCUACUUCCAGAUAAUUCUGAGAACAACGAAUUACUCCAGCUACACUUUCCAAGCUUUUUCUCAGAGCAACUGAGACAUUUAAAAAGAAGGGAUGGUUUGAUCAGCUUACAAAUCAGAGACUUUUCAAUUCCUG